rnacentral:rRNA from 1 species
GCGAAAAGCGUCGGUAAGCUGAUAUGAAGCGUGAUAGCCGGCGAUGUCCGAAUGGGGAAACCCAGUGCAAUGCGUUGCACUAUCAUUAACUGAAUUCAUAGGUUAAUGAGGCGAACCGGGGGAACUGAAACAUCUCAGUACCCCGAGGAAAAGAAAUCAACCGAGAUUCCCCCAGUAGCGGCGAGCGAACGGGGAGGAGCCCAGAACCUGCAUCAGCGAUAGCAUCAGAGGAACGGUCUGGAAAGGCCGGCGAGAGAGGGUGACAGCCCCGUACUCGAAGAUGGUAUGGCUGUGAGUUCGAUGAGUAAGGCGGGACACGAGAAAUCCUGUCUGAAGAUGGGGGGACCAUCCUCCAAGGCUAAAUACUCCUGACUGACCGAUAGUGAACCAGUAC